UUAAAUUCACAGGGGAAUCUCUUAAUCAAUCUCCACCUAUUUACAUAAAAUACAUUUUAUUAAAUACAAUACUUCUAUUUACUUUUUAUAAAUAUUUUUCCAUUUUAUCAUUACACCUUAAAUAAACACCACAAAAACCCCCAACAAUUCCCCCCCUAGUCUCCUCAAUGGCCUCUCCCAAAGCUAUAUAUGGCGUCUGGACCCCCGGGGUAGAAUUUGUCCAAACACCCUGGAGAGGACACAGAAAAGACAGGCACCAGCAACCAACCUCACUCAUCAAUGAGGAGCAGCUGUGCAGAGCCCAAAACAAAGGCCACAUACCAAUCGCCAAAAUGCUCAAUAAAUAUAAUUAAAACUU